UCUUUCACACCCCCAAGCCCGAGCUACGGUGUGGUGCUGCCUAGCUCUGUGGGCGGUCAAGCACUGGUGGUCACUUGAGGGGGCUCGUGCCCUCUCAAGGCCAUCCCAUGGGGAAGCACGAGCACACGGGGCGCCGCCAAAGAAAACCAGCAGAGAAGACAACACAGCUGUGAGCUUGUCUGCUUUUUAAUGGACAAAUAAAAUUGAUCUGCCAGGCACCUCCUUGAUAUCUGGUGCCUUUCGCCUCCAAGUUCAUCCUUCCCUGCUGCGCUGUUUCUCUCCUCUUCUCUCCUGUUAUUUCACAUCCAAGUUUCCCCACCCGCUGCCCCCUUUAAUUUCUGCAGUGGUUCCCUUGUAACCACUGAGUGUGUGCUGAGUGUGUUUGAGCUGGUCGUCCAGGAUGCUGAAUCCCUUGCUGAAAAGGGAUUGAUGGAAGACAUCGCUUGCCUGGACCAGCCACCUGAGGCUGCAACCCCGAAUCCCGCGAGCCCGGUCCCCUUUGAGGGUCGAUGCGCAUCGCCCCAGGAAAGACAAGCAGACGGGACGGCAGGCGAGCAGCAGUGAGCUGACCGGAAGGGAAGAAGGCCAGGCCAGCCAAACAGGAGGUAAAGGCCUCGGAAGAACCGGAAGGAGACGCGGAUGGGGAACGCAGCGAGGAAGAGGCGAGGUAGGAGAAAAGCCAGUCAGAGAAACGGGAUGUGAAGGAAAGGGACUCUGGACAGAGUGGCAUCCCUGCCUUUAGGUCUCGAUCAUGUCUUAGCCAAAUUUCGGCUUUGUGAGCCUUUGGGUGAGCUCCCUGUAACUCAAACGAGUCUCUGCCCUUGCUGUUGUUGCACUUUUGCAGCAGUCAGGUGGAAGGCGGUUAAUCCUGUAAUCAAGGUGUGUCUCCACCACCACGUUUGUAAAGGCCGUGGACCUGGUUAGUGGUCUUGCACAGCACAGCCCCACCCUGUAAUCGGAGUCGAGGCUAGCUGUCAGACUUGGCUGCAAAUUGCACAGCAACCCGUAAGUGGGGUGCGUGCUGCCUUCUAACAUGAGAAAAAAUGUCUAGCGCUGGACAUCCUGUAAUUGGGAGUCAAAGUCCACUGCUAUUCCUGGCCAAUCGAAGAGGAGCCCCUGUAAGCAGGGUGGACGUAGCCUCCUUCCGCUGGCCUUAGAUAGCCGGAGCAGUUUGCAGUGUUGUGCUGCAGGGCGGCCUUGCACACCAGAGCCGAGCCUCAUGGGGUGACAGCCAGCUCUUUAGACCCCAGAACUUGAUGACUUUCCCGUGGUCUGGGUUGAAGUCUGUGACCUCCUCUCCCCCUGUGUCCAGGCACCUGUCCUUUUUCAUGCAUCUGUGUCUGACUCCACGUCUGGACCCCUGGGCCGCCCUGUAACAAGGGUGCAAGUCCCGUGCCCCUGGUGGAAGGCUAAAUAGCGCAGAGCAGUGGACAUCCCUGUAAGCAGGGUCCAGCUCCCUAUGUCCCUUUGGGGACAGCCCUGUCCUUUGCCUGGCCUGGUGGCCCCCCCUGUAAACGGGGGUCUGGGCCGCCCUUUUGCCCCCCGUGGGCAGUCUGACUAGCCAGGCGGGCCGUGCCCUGUAACGAGGGUGCUGGUCUCAGCCUUGUCGCCCCCUGGGAGCGGAGGAGGAUUUUCAGUAUAAGGUUCGAGGUCAAGCAGUUUGCAGCAUCGAGCUCCUUUCCAGCCUGGGAACACUUUUUACCCUUGUGAGAGUGUGGAGAGCGAGAGAGAGGAGCGCCUGGGAGCGAAAGCAUUUGUUAUUUUCUUUUUGUUGUUAAAACCGCUGCAGCGUACUUUAUUUUCUUCCCAGUGCUGGAAAAGGGGCGAGAUGCGUCCUCGUAGCCUUUUCCUCCCACCUCCAUACCUAGGGGGACGGAUUUCCAGGCCUUUUGGUCUCGGGGAGCAUUAGGCCCCCUCUCUAAUACUUUGGGGCACACGGCCUCCCUGUAGUUCAGGGUACAGGCCUUAGACCCCCUCUUUUUGGGGUCCUUUGGGCACUUGGUAGCUCAAUUGCAGUUCCUGCGCUCCUUGAGAGACAGCCACGUGUUCCCCAGCCGAGUCCCUGGGGACGAGUGCCCUGGCACUUGGCCAGCCCUUGCUCUGCGCCCCCGCCCCCGGCCUGCAGCCUGUAAGCAGGGUCCAGGCCCCCUUGAUUCUCCGGGUCGGGUCUCGUCCCACUCGGUGAGGUUGGCCACAGAUGAUACCCACAGACUGCAGGGAAGGUUGCAGGCUUGUGGAAGAUACUGGGUGCGCUGGGACCCCUGAGGCUUCGUGACCUUCCUGUAACUCAGGUCCAGGUCUCUGCUCCUCUGCUCUGCUGCUCCUGGCACCAUUGAGAUGGUCUCCUCUUGCACCCUGUAAACAGGGCUGUGCCCCCCCAACCCCUCUGACUUCGGGGGGAGGAGGCCUCCUUUAGCCCUUUGGGCUCUGUGGCAGUCGUGAUGGGAGGCUGAAGUAAUGGCCUUUGUGUCCCCAGACACGGGGCUGCUUUGAGCCCUGAUUGAGACCGCCUGAGGCACCCGUCAGCUGGCAUUCAGGGCUUUACAGGUUUUCUCUGGGCUUCAUGCCCCGCAGCCAGCUGUGUGCAGGGAGCACUGCCCAGUAAGCAGGGUUGCCGGUGUCUGUGGUCACCUUCAUGGUGCCGUCCCAGCACUUCUGUCCAGAGUCCUGGCCCGUGGCGCUCUGCUCCUGGCUGGCCUGGAUGUCAGCAGCCGAGACCACAGGCGUCUGCCCUCCCCCAUCUCCAUGGAUAGAGGACAGAUUGGCACCGGAUUCAGGCCCUGAUAGGAGCAGCUGGAAAAACGGUGCACAAGCAGGAGUCAGCGGACAAGGAGGGAGGAAAACCAUGCAAAGCUGCCAGAAGGACAAGCAGCGGGCGAACCACACCAGGGUGGAAAGCCAGGAAAAUGGGAUGCGAAGGAAAAGGACUCUGGACAGAGUGAUCUCCCUGCCUUUAAGUAUCAGUCAUGCAUUAGCCAAAUUUUGGCUGCAUGAGCUCUCUGUAACGCAGUAACGAGCUUGUGCGUUUGAUGCUGUUGCGCUUCUGCGGCAGUUGGGUGGAAGUGGACAACCCUGUAAGCAAGGCGUGUGUCACCGCCGCCUCCUUUAUAAAGAGUGUGGAUCUAGUCGGUGGUCUUGUGCAGUGGGGCCGCCCUGUAUGCGGGGCCUGGGCCAGCUGCCAAACAUGACUGUCAGGGGCGCAGCCUCCUGUGAGUAGGGUGCUUGGUGCGUCUUACCGUGUAAGAAUGACAGGCAAUUUGAAUGUUCCUAGCACUGGACAUCCUGUAAUUGGGAGUCAAAGUCCGCUGCUGUUUCCAGCCAGUUGGAGAGGAGCACCUGUAAGCAGGGUGGACGUAGCCUCCUUCCACUGGUGUAGACAGCCGGAGCAGUCUGCAGCGCGGUGCCGCAGGGCAGCCUCGCAUACUGGAGCUGAGUCUCGUGGGGUGGCGGCAAACUCCUUAGACCCCAGAGCUUGAUGACCUUCCCGUGGUCUGGGUUGAAGCCUGUGGCCUCCUCUCUGAUCCGUGUGUCCAGGCACCUGUCCUUUUUCAUGCAUCUAUGCCUGGCACUCCACAUCCAGACAGCUGGGCCACCCUCUAAGGAGGGUGUGAGUCCCAUGUCCCUUGGUGCAGGGUUAGAUUGCACAGAGCUGUGGACCCCCCUGUAAGCAGGGUGCAGGUCUCAAUGUGCCUUUGAGGGCAGCCCUGUCCUUGGUCUGGCUGUGGGCCUUUCCCUUUUGCCCCUCUUGGGCAGCGUGGCAAGCGAGAUGGACUGUGCCCUGUAAGGAGGGUGCGAGUCCCGUGUCUCUUGUUGGAGGGCUAGAUUGCGCAGAGCAGUGGACCACCCUGUAAUCAGGGUCCAGGUCUCAAUGUGCCUUUAAGGGACAGCUCUAUCCUUUGCCUGGCUGUGGCCCUCCUUGUAACCAGGGCUAUGGGCCUUCCCCUUUUGCCCCUCUUGGGCAGUGUGGCUAGUCACACGGACUGUGCCCUGUAACGAGGGUGCGAGUCCUGUGCAUCCUGUUGCACACCUAGGUUCUGCAGAGGUGUGGCCCGCCCUGUAAGCAGGGCUCUGCGCCUUUGCUUCUUGCCCCCCAUGGGCAGUGUGGCUAGUCACACGGACUGUGCCCUGUAACGAGGGUGCGAGUCCUGUGCAUCCUGUUGCACGCCUAGGUUCUGCAGAGCUGUGGCCCGCCCUGUAAGCAGGGUUCAGGUCUCUACGUGCCUUUGGGGACAGCCCUGUCCUUUGCCAGGCCUGAUGGCCCUACCUGUAAGCAGGGCGGUGGGCCUCUCCCUUUUGCCCCCCGUGGGCAGUCUGACUAGCCAGGCGGGCCGUGCCCUGUAACGAGGGUGCCGGUCUCAGCUUUCUUGCCCCCUGGGAGCAGAGGAGGAUUUUCAGAGCAAGGUUCGAGGUCAAGCAGUUUGCAGCAUCGAGCUCCUUUCCAGCCUGGGAACACUUUUUCCCUUGUCCAUGUGUGGAGAGCGAGAGAGAGGAGCGCCUGGGAGCGAAAGCGUUUGUUAUUUUCUUUUUGUUGUUAAAAUCGCUGCAGCGUACUUUAUUUUCUUCCCAGUGCUGGGAAAGGGGCGCGAUGCGUCCUUGUAGCCUUUUCCUCCCACCUCCAUACCUAGGGGGACGGAUUUCCAGGCCUUUUGGUCUUGGGGAGCAUUAGGCCCCCUCUCUAAUACUUUGGGGCCCACGGCCUCCCUGUAUUUCAGGGUACAGGCCUUAGGCCCCCUCUUUUUGGGGUCCUUUGGGCACUUGGUAGCUCGAUUUGCAGUUCCUGCCCUCCUUGAGACAGCCACGUAUUCCCCACCUGAGUCCCUGGGGACGAGUGCCCUGGCACUUGGCCAGCCGUUGCUCUGCGCCCCGGCCUGCAGCCUGUAAGCAGGGUCCAGGCCACCUUGAUCCUCCGGGUUGGGUCUCGUCCCACUCGGUGAGGUUGGCCACAGAUGAUCCCCACAGACUACAGGGAAGGUUGCAGGCUUGUGGAGGAUACUGGGUGUGCUGGGACCCCUGAGGCUUUGUGACCUUCCUGUAACUCAGGUCCAGGUCUCUGCUCUGCUGCUCCUGGCACCAUUGAGAUGGUCUCCACUCGCACCCUGUAAACAGGGCUGCGCCCCCCCCAACCCCUCUGACCUUGGGGGAGGAGGCCUCCUUUAGCCCUUUGGGCUCUGUAUCAGCCACGAUGGGAGGCUGAAGUAAUGGCCUUUGUGUCCCCAGACACGAGGCUGCUUUGAGCCCUGAUUGAGACCGCCUGAGGCACCCGUCAGCUGGCAUUCAGGGCUUUACAGGUUUUCUCUGGGCUUCAUGCCCCGCAGCCAGCUGUGUGCAGGGAGCACAGCCCUGUAAGUAGGGUUGCUGGUGUCUGUGGUCACCUUCAUGGUGCCAUCCUAGCACUUCUGUCCAGAGUCCUGGCCCGUUGCGCUCUGCUCUUGGCUGGCCCGUAUGUCGGCAGCCCAGACUACAGACGUCUGGCCUCCCCCCAUCUCCACGGAUAGAGGACAGUCGCCACAGGUCCAGAGGAAGAAGCAGAGAAGACAACAGACAAAUAGGAGUUAACCCAUAACCAGGACAGAAAACAGUGCCAGCCCACCGGGAGACAAAGGUCCCUGAAGAGCAGCUGGAGAAGAAGGAACAGAAGCAGGACAAGAAAGCUCAGAAACAACAAGUGUGGGUUGGUGUGGGCAGGAGGAAGAGAGGCACAUGUUUAAUAUAUGCUUAGAUAAGAACAGAUGGAGACUGUCAUGUGCAUCUCUACACUUUCAAACACUCAGUAGGAGCAAGCUGCUGCACGCUUCAAGUUGCACCAUGGACUCGGUCUUGGGUUGGCCCAGAUUUGUAGGCAGUGAGAUUGAGGCGUUGUGCGUAUUGGGUUGGCCCCGGUUUGUAGGCAGCGAGGUUGAGGUGGUGUGCUAGUUGUGCGUAUUGAUAUGUGG